ensembl:lncRNA
UUUUUUUUUAUUAUUUGUGAUGAGUAUUUAACCCCUAGACUCCAGCAUUAUUCUUUUUUUAUUUUAAAUAAUGUAUAAUUUAUAUUAAUUACAUUUAUGUGGAUCUAAUUAGUGCAGACGUAUGGUGUAUUCAUGUAAAUAUGUAUAUAUUACGUUUUUAAGAUUAAGGAAUAACAGACUAAAUUAAUACAUGCCACCCCAACUCUCCCUCCCCCACCCCACCCCCUCCAACUGGUAUAUCUAUAGUGUAUUAAUCCACUUAUACCACAGCAAUUUGCAACCAUGAACAAAACCUCACACAGUUUAAUGGUUUAUAGUUCUGAAAGCGUAUCCGAGACUCCUUCCAUAAAUCUCCUAACCAAAAAAAUGUCACAUUGACGAUUAUAAGCUUUAUAUUGCUAAAUCCAUUUAUUAUUAGUCUCAGAUUAUGUCUCAGAUUAAAUCCCUGUGUAUAAACUGUUACUAUAGAAACAAUAACCUAUUAGAAGGAGCACAUUAAUAUUAACAAUAUUAACCUGUAGUACAAGUUACACUCGGAACUAACUUUACAAAUACAGACUCCACACAAUCAGGGCCUUGUGUUGGAUAAUUUGAGUGAUCUGUAAACAUCAGAAGUCCUAAUACGUUAAAAACUGAACUCCUCAUUUUGCGUUGUUUUUGAAUGGCUUUCUGCUUUAUUGAAAUCAGUGUACAGUAAAUUACUUGAUAAAUAUUCACCAUUUUAAUAGACCUAGAUCUGAUGCAUAAAUUGAACAUUUAAUGAGGAGUUUUGCAGUUGUGUGUUCCCAGUUGUCUGUCUCCAGUUUCCAAAGUGGACAGUGAUGAUGGCACCCCUCAUCAUGAACGCGCUAACAUACCUGGCACAUUGUGGGCUACAUAAGGGUGAAGCAUGGCAAGUAACAUGUAUAUUGUAAUAAGCUAAAGUGAAGUAUAUUCAUCCUGUGUCCUGUAAACAAUAUCUUCAAUCCUCAGAAAGGGAUGAAGGGACAUGCCCACUUGGUCUAGCAUUAUUACAGCAAGCUGUGAUAACAAAUUCGAUAGGUUUUGCAAUACAACCAACCCACCCAGUAACCAAUGUUUAAGGCUGGAAGAGGAUGGUAAAGUUAGAGUAACAAUAAAACACAAGUUCAAUAGUCAAUGAAUAUUAAUAGUCAUGAAAACAUUGUUUCACUUGAUUUAUGCUACAAAUGUGUUGAUUAUGUUGAUUCAUCGCUCAUAUCACACAAAAACAGACGACACUUUCAUUGAUAAAAGUGAUCUAGCAGAGGUAAAUUUAAAAUAUUACACAGAUUUGCCAUCAAUAUUUUAUAAGGGAGUUAUAGACCCCCAGUUAUGUAUCGCCAAUGCUUAAGACCCCCAAUGGGAGCAAAAAGUGAGGGCCAAGGGUUAGCAAGGGUUAGCGUCAACACUGAAUCAAAGACAACAUAUUUAACCAUCUCAGGGAUCUCUAUAGUAUUAUCAAAUGCACAAUGAUAGUGCAUCCAUGAUAGUGGUAAAAAAGACAUUAAUGCCAUGUUAAAGAUAUAUUUAAAAUAUUCAUUUUAAAUUAAUAAUUUACUUUCAGUCUAUAAUUCGGGUACCAUAGUUGCUGUACACACUAUAAUUGUGUCUUAGCACAUAAAAAAAUUGAUAAUAACAUGAACAAGUGCAUAACAAAGUGGAAAAAUACAAUAAAUUACAGCAGAGUUUAUUUAAAGCACAGGAGUAAGGAAGCAGUAAGGAGACACUGACCUAAUACAUACGCACACACACACACACACACACACACACACACUGUCUCAUCUGAAGAUUGCAGGUUAUGAGACUAGAUUUCCAUAUUUGUUAUCUUUUAGCUCUAAAACAGACCUCAGAUUAAGGCAUUAAUAUUUAUGUCUACAGACAACUGACAAGAAAAAGAAGAAAAGUGCAAAAGUGCCAAUGAAAGUGGCUGUGGUACCGCACACUCUUCACUCUGCUUCACCAAUAUAUGUAUCCCUGCCUUGAGACACAGAAGCUCCUGUACAAGUUCAGGUCUGUACUUCGUUUGUAAACUCUAAGGCAAAACCAGCUGAAAAACUAAAUGUUAGUCACUCUGGUAAAUUACAAAGAAAUCGAAAGGCGACGAACUUGAACUUUGUACAAAAGUCAUGCCACUCCACUGUGCUAAAAACCUGUGUCUUUUCUUACCUCUUCUGCUCUCUCCAUUAUGGGGAACCUGACUGGAGGUAAACACGCUCCUGUACAAGUUCAGGACUCGGUGAUGAAGACUACAGCAAAAAUAAAGGUUAGUCACUCUGUUGAAGGAAAUCUAAAGGAUAGUCAUAUAAACUUUUUUUAAUGUAAUGUUCUUCCCCUACACUAAAGAGUUUUGUUUUGUCUUACCUCUCUUGCUACCUUAAUCACUGUGAACCUGACUUGAGACACAGAAGCUCCUGUACAAGUUCAGGACAAGACCAUUUCUGUAAACACUAGGGCAAAACUAAAGGUUAGUCACUUUGGUAAAUUAGAAGAAAAAUCUAAAGGCAAUGCACUACAACUGUAUGUUAUUCUGCUCCAAUAUAUUAAAAACUUGUGUCUUUUUAUUCCUCCCUUGCCACCUCAAUCAUGGUGUACCUGUCGAGGGAAAUAAGCUCCUAUACAAGUUCAGGUGACCAGUCAGGACUUGACCUCUGAGGUAAACACGCUCCUGUAGAAGUUCAGGACUCGGUGAUGAAGACUACACCAAAAAUAAAAGUUAGUCAUUCUGUUAAUGUAAAUCCAAAGGAUAGUCAUUUAAACUUUUUUUUUUUUUAUGUAAUGUUGUUCCCCUACGCUAAACAGUUUGUUCUUGUUCUCCCUCUUGCUACCUUAAUCAUGGUGAACAUGACUUGAGACACAGACGCUCCUGUAGAAGUUCAGGUCUCUACCUCGGUGGUAAAGACUACCGCAAAACCAGCAGCACAACUAAAGUUUAGUCUCGCUGUUCAAGAACAAGGAAAUCUAAAGGCUAGUCACCUGAACCUUUAAUAAAAAUGUCAUGUCUUGUCUUACCUCUCUUGCUACCUCAAUCACGGUGUCCCUGUCUUGAGGCACAGAAGCUCCUGUACAAGUUCAGGUCUCUAGGUUGGUGGUAACCACUACAACAAAACUAAAUGUUAGUCGCUCUGGUAAAAUUACAAAGAAAUUGAAAGGCAAUGAACUUGAACUUUGUACAAAAGUCAUGCCACUCCACUGUGCUAAAAACCUGUGUCUUUUCUGCUCUCUCCAUUAUGGGGAACCUGACUGGAGGUAAACACGCUCCUGUACAAGUUCAGGACUCUGUGAUGUAGACUACGGCAAAAAUAAAGGUUAGUCUUGCUGUUCAAGGAACUCUAAAGGAUAGUCAGUUGAACCUUUAAUAAAAUCGCCAUGUUGUUCCACUCGGCUAAACGGUUUUGUCUUUUCUUAUUUCUCUUGCUACCUUAAUCACAGUGUCCCUGUCUUGAGGUAAACACACUCCUGUACAAGUUCAGGACUAGACCUUUUCUCUAAACACUAGGGCAAAACUAAGGGUAGUCACUUUGGUAAAUUGAAAGAAAAAUCUAAAGGCAAUGCACUUGAAUUUUUCAUGCCACUCCACUAUGCUAAAAACUUUUCUUAUCUCUUUUGCUAUCUCCAUUAUGGGGAACCUGACUGGAGGAACAGAAGCUCCUGUACAAGUUCAGAACUUGGUGAUGAAGACUACGGCAAAACCACCGGCAAAAAUGAAGAUUAGUCACUCUGUUCAAGGAAAUGUAAAGGAUAGUCACUUGAACCUUUAAUAAAAGUGUCAUGUUGUUC